GACAGAGGGUGCAAACGUUGUUCGGAUUUACUGGGCGUAAAGCGCGUGUAGGCGGCUUUGCAAGUCGGAUGUGAAAGCCCACGGCUCAACCGUGGAAGUGCAUCCGAAACUGCAUGGCUCGAGUCUCGGAGAGGAAGGUGGAAUGCUUGGUGUAGAGGUGAAAUUCGUAGAUAUCGGGAGGAACACCAGUGGCGAAGGCGGCGACCUGGGCCAAUAUUGACGCUGAGGUGCGAAAGCGUGGGGAGCAAACAGG
rnacentral:rRNA from 1 species